CAACUACGCGUUAUCAAAGAUUACUCAAAAAGUAGUUAUCAGAUCUCGAUAAAGUUUAUAUGUGACCACAUGAUAAACAUCAGCUUUCGAUUAAAUUAAAAAUUAUUAAAAUCGGUACACCCAGUUAAAAGUUAUUACGGAUUUUCGAGAUUUUCCCUCGAUUCCUCUAGGAUCCCAUCAUCAGAUCCUAGUUUCCUUAUCACGGUACCAAACUAGGGAUAUCCCCUUUCCAACAAAUAAAGAAUUAUCAAAAUCGGUACAUCCAGUAGAAAGUUAUGCGGUAUAAUACAACGUAGGUCGACGAAAAAAGCGUCAAGUAAAAACGCAUUAUUA
rnacentral:misc_RNA from 1 species